AUCGAACGCUGGCGGCAUGCCUUACACAUGCAAGUCGAACGGCAGCGGACCUUCGGGUGCCGGCGAGUGGCGAACGGGUGAGUAAUGUAUCGGAACGUACCUUUCAGUGGGGGAUAACGUAGCGAAAGUUACGCUAAUACCGCAUAUUCUGCGAGCAGGAAAGCAGGGGAUCGCAAGACCUUGCGCUGAUUGAGCGGCCGAUAUCAGAUUAGCUAGUUGGUGAGGUAAAGGCUCACCAAGGCGACGAUCUGUAGCGGGUCUGAGAGGAUGAUCCGCCACACUGGAACUGAGACACGGUCCAGACUCCUACGGGAGGCAGCAGUGGGGAAUUUUGGACAAUGGGCGCAAGCCUGAUCCAGCCAUGCCGCGUGAGUGAAGAAGGCCUUCGGGUUGUAAAGCUCUUUCGGCCGGGAAGAAAUCGCAUGGGUUAAUACCCUGUGCGGAUGACGGUACCGGCAUAAGAAGCACCGGCUAACUACGUGCCAGCCGCCGCAGUAAAAC
rnacentral:rRNA from 1 species